ACAUCAGUGAAGUAUUAGGUAGUGUUUGCAAUAGUUGAGUUAGAGGAAAGCAUUGAAAUCAAUUCUGAUUCGGUUGAUGAUUAUAUCAGUGACAUCUCUGGGCAACUCAACAAAUUUGAGUUUUAACAGUCUGGAAGAAGAGGGUUACCAGCGGGGUAGAAGUGGAGAGAAGAAAGGUUGUGUGAUGUGUGUUGAAGUCUUGGUUCGAGAAAUUUUAUGAUUCUUAAAUCAUCCUUCACUGGGAAUAUAUUUUCGAACCUAAUUCAACAAGUUCAUGAUAGAUUGGUUUUGCUUAUAUGUGUAGUUUCAGUAUUUAUUAGAACUUGUACUCUACGGAGGAUCUGGAAAACUCAACAUCACAUCGAUCUCAUCCAUGGUGGUGAUGUUCAUGGCCGAUUCCAUAGACUUCCAUCAGGUGCAAUGAGGCUGAAAAUCGUCUCGCAAGGCAGAUUGGCUAUUUGAAUCGUUCUUCUCAACUCUAGUACUGUCGUAUUCGAAGAGAAAACCCCUUUCAGCCAGGGGUGGACUUUGAGUGCUAGACUGGUUGGUUUCUGACCUAGGCUACAGGGUGGUGCAACUUUUACCUUCCACAGGGUGGUGCAACCUUCACCUUCUACAGGGUGGUGCAACCUUCAUCUCCUACAGGGUGAUCCCAGUGGACUAAAGUUACCUAGGUAUCAGGAAGAGUACGGGGUGAUCUAAUCCUCCACUGACGACAACUCUACUAGGACAGCAAUCCAAACCUAUUUGAGUUGGGACACGCAAGUUCUUGAUUAUAUAUCUAUUUGCCUAUAAUUCGUUUAUUUACCUCGAUAGCUGAUUGCUUACCUGAAUAAUAAGAUUGCGGCACGAAUUUUGUUCGGCUGCCCGCGCAUAUAUGUAUUUGUGUGUACAUAUCGAUAAAUUUUAUUGUUUUUAUUGCCCUUGCUUACUUUGCUUGGUUGUAACUGUCACUCGACUGAAAAUAUUGUUUAAGAGCUGUAAUAAUUGUGUAAGUCGUUCGGUGUACUACUUACAUAUGUUGUAACCGUAAUAAAGCGGAUAUUGGAGUGCUUGAGUACGUCAUAUCGGGCACUUGGCCCGCCUCAUUAACGCAUGCGCAACACGUGAGCUCACGCGGUCGCAAAAUAAAUUGCAUUUUGACUCAGAUCUUCCAAAUGCCGAGUGUUAAAUGUUGUUGUUGACAAUUGAUGCGGUAACAGUAUUGUUGUUUUUUGUUUUGUUGUUGUUUUUAUUCAUACUCAUUACCUCCAUUGUCCUUCGGACAAACAAGAUAAUAUUGCUGAAUGCUUGUUUAUGCUUGAUUAUUUUACUUUUGUUUGUUAUUCAACUCGAGAUGGGUAAUGUGUUCGACUUGCGAGUUACAGAUACUGGUGCUUGACCUGUAAUGACGCUUGCUUUGUUUUUUAUAAUAUAAGUUUAGUAAAGCCUAACUUCCUGGAA